rnacentral:rRNA from 1 species
AACGAACGCUGGCGGCAUGCCUAACACAUGCAAGUCGAACGAGACCUUCGGGUCUAGUGGCGCACGGGUGCGUAACGCGUGGGAACCUGCCCUUAGGUUCGGAAUAACUCCCCGAAAGGGGUGCUAAUACCGGAUAAUGUCUUCGGACCAAAGAUUUAUCGCCUUUGGAUGGGCCCGCGUUGGAUUAGCUAGUUGGUAGGGUAAAAGCCUACCAAGGCGACGAUCCAUAGCUGGUCUGAGAGGAUGAUCAGCCACACUGGGACUGAGACACGGCCCAGACUCCUACGGGAGGCAGCAGGUGGGAAUAUUGGACAAUGGGCGAAAGCCUGAUCCAGCAAUGCCGCGUGAGUGAUGAAGGCCUUAGGGUUGUAAAACUCUUUUACCCGGGAUGAUAAUGACAGUACCGGGAGAAUAAGCUCCGGCUAACUCCGUG